GGAAGGUGGGGAUGACGUCAAAGUCAUCAUGGCCCCUUACGGCCUGGGCUACACACGUGCUACAAUGGUCGGUACAAAGGGUUGCCAAGCCGCGAGGUGGAGCUAAUCCCAUAAAACCGAUCGUAGUCCGGAUCGCAGUCUGCAACUCGACUGCGUGAAGUCGGAAUCGCUAGUAAUCGUGAAUCAGAAUGUCACGGUGAAUACGUUCCCGGGCCUU
rnacentral:rRNA from 1 species